GAUGAACGCUGACAGAAUGCUUAACACAUGCAAGUCUUUGGCGAAGCUGUGCUUGCACAGCCUAGCCAAGGCGGACGGGUGAGUAACGCGUAGGGAACUUGCCCUGCAGUCAGGGAUAACAGACGGAAACGACUGAUGAGACCUGGUAAAGUCAGGCGGACUCAUGUCCAGCCUGAUGAAAAGAGAUGCUGCAGGAGAGCCUUGCGUCCUAUUAGCUUGUUGGUGGGGUAACGGCCCACCAAGGCGAUGAUAGGUAGCCGGCCUGAGAGGGUGGACGGCCACAAGGGGACUGAGAUACGGCCCUUACUCCUACGGGAGGCAGCAGUGGGGAAUAUUGGACAAUGGGGGCAACCCUGAUCCAGCAAUUCUGUGUGCACGAUGAAGGUUUUCGGAUUGUAAAGUGCUUUCAGCAGGGAGGAAAAAAAUGACGGUACCUGCAGAAGAAGCGACGGCUAAAUACGUG
rnacentral:rRNA from 1 species